UACACUCCUGCGGGAGGCAGCAGUGGGGAAUUUUGGACAAUGGGGGCAACCCUGAUCCAGCAAUGCCGCGUGAGUGAAGAAGGCCUUCGGGUUGUAAAGCUCUUUUGUCAGGGAAGAAACGGUGGUGGCGAAUAACUACUACUAAUGACGGUACCUGAAGAAUAAGCACCGGCUAACUACGUGCCAGCAGCCGCGGUAAUACGUAGGGUGCAAGCGUUAAUCGGAAUUACUGGGCGUAAAGCGUGCGCAGGCGGUUGUGUAAGUCAGAUGUGAAAUCCCCGGGCUCAACCUGGGAAUUGCAUUUGAGACUGCACGGCUAGAGUGUGUCAGAGGGGGGUAGAAUUCCACGUGUAGCAGUGAAAUGCGUAGAUAUGUGGAGGAAUACCGAUGGCGAAGGCAGCCCCCUGGGAUAACACUGACGCUCAUGCACGAAAGCGUGGGGAGCAAACAGGAUUAGAAACCCUUGUAGUCCCAUGAU
rnacentral:rRNA from 1 species